rnacentral:lncRNA from 1 species
UGCGAAGGAAGAGCAUGUCAUGCUAUUUCCCAAGGACGGGCAUCACAAACUAUAUGUACAAAGGAUGAAUGCAUGGCUUCUGCUAAUGGCGAAUUAGUAAAUGCAAAG